rnacentral:rRNA from 1 species
UGGGGAAUAUUGGACAAUGGGCGAAAGCCUGAUCCAGCAAUACCGCGUGAAUGAUGAAGGCCUUAGGGUUGUAAAGUUCUUUUAUUUGGAAAGAUAAUGACGGUACCAACAGAAAAAGCCCCGGCUAACUCCGUGCCAGCAGCCGCGGUAAUACGGAGGGGGCUAGCGUUGUUCGGAAUUACUGGGCGUAAAGGGCGCGUAGGCGGAUUAGUAAGUUGUGAGUGAAAGGCCGGGGCUUAACCUCGGAACUGCUUUCAAAACUGCUAGUCUUGAGUGAAGUAGGGGAUGACAGAAUUCCUAGUGUAGAGGUGAAAUGCUUAGAUAGCAGGAGGAACACCGGUGGCGAAGGCGGUAAUCUGGACGUAAACUGACGCUGAGGCGCGACAGCGUGGGGAGCAAACA